GCUUUUUUGGAACUUUCUGGAUUUUUUCCAAACAUUUUUGAUCUGCAUUUGGUUGAAUCCAAGGAUGCAGAACUUGUGGAUACUGAGGGCCAACUGUAAUUCUGUCUUUGGCUCAAGGAUAGGCCAACGUCAAAGUAGUAACUGAAAAAAGUCUGAUUCUGAUACUCAAAUCCUGGGUUCUUGUGUCCUAAGACUGGGCACAGUUAGAGGUUUUGCUUACAGUGUUACUAAUCUCACAACACCUCUGCAAAGCAAGUAACGGUCAUCUCUGGUUUAAGCCCUGAGAGUGCCCUUAGGGGAUCAUAUUCUUGGUGGUCUUCCUUAGCUCCUCCGAAGCACCCAUUCUCUGCUGAACAGAACCAAGAGCUUUCCUACAUUCUCAUGUAGGAAACAGUCCUUUAAAGCAGGUAUUGCCUUCAUGUUGGACUGGGGAAACAGACCCAGAGGAGUUAAGAAACUUGCCUCAAGUUACACAGCCACUAUGUCUGACUUUAAUGCAAAUAUUCUUAUCACUGUACCACAGUGCUUGUCACUGGGGCUUUUUAUCUGACUUCAACAUUUCUACCACUUUUGCUGGCUUUUCUUCCUCUGCCCAUCCCCUAAACGCUGGAGUUUCUUUUUUAGCUCUCAUUUCACUUAUAUACACGCCCUGUGCAAUCUCAUGUACCCCCAAUGUUUUCAAUUACCGUGCAUACACAAAUGGCUUCCAAAUCUAAGUAUCAAGCUCAGAUCUCUCUUCUAACCCCAGAUCUUCAUACCCAGCUGUCUACUCGACAGUCACCUGAGUGGGUAACAGGCAUCUCUAGCUUAACCUGUGUAACCCAGAGGGCAUCAGCAACCUCCCCAGGCCUGGAUCACCUCUUCUCUCCUGUCCUCUUCUAUGGAAAAAAAAUAUUUCAAUCAGGAAAUGUCAAGUUUUCCAUUCCUGAACACAGGUCUUACACUUACCCAUAGAUUUGGAGGAACUCCAUCUCUAAACCCUGCCUGGGAUAGCCAACACUAGGGAGGCUAGAAGAGGCUAAGGAGUGGGACGGUCACCCUGGGUCUGGGAGGUAAUCAUUGGUCCGUUUCCCCCUUCACCCCAGAGAUAGAUAAGUAGAAAACUUCUGAAGACUCCUUAAUAAUGUGUAGCCUCUACUGUGUCCAGACUUGACCCAUAAGUAUAGGACCGUCCUAGAUGAAAGCAGCAGUUACUAACUCCUAUAUGACAGUAAUUUACACACAGCAUCCACUGACCAAAUAAAAUACCUAAUGACAAAAUAUAACCAUGAAUUUAGUAACACUUUUAGAUGAUUCAGUAUUUUAAUAAAAUAAAUCCUAUCGUUUACAUCCUGUGACAAUGGCACAAAAGUAUAAGACAUAGGCUUUUUGGAUCCACCAUCUGUGGUGGUGCCGCCACCAGGAUGCAGAUUUUUAUGAAGAUCCGGACAGGGAAGACCACCACUCUCGAGGUCGAACCCUCAGAUACAAUAGAAAAUGUAAAGGCCAAGAUCCAAGAUAAGGAAGUAAUUCCUUCUGACCAGUGAAGACUAACCUUUGCUGGCAAGCAACUGGAAGAUGGACGUACUUUGUCUGACUACAACAUUCAAAAGGAGUCUACUUUUCAUCUUCUGUUGAGACUUCGUGCUGGUACUAAGAAAAGGAAGAAGUCUUACACCACUCCCAAGAAGAACAAGCAUAAGAGAAAGAGGGUUAAGCUGGCUGUCCUGAAAUACUGUAAGGCGGAUCAGAAUGGCAAAAGCAGUCACCUUCAUCGGGAGUGCCCUUCAGAUAAAUGUGGUGUGGAGUUUUUAUGGCCAGCCACUUUGACAAACACUAUUGUGACAAAUGUUGUCUGACCUAUUGUUUCAACAAACCAGAAGACAGGUUAUUGUAUAUUGGUUAAUAAAAGACAUGAACUAAUGAACUAAAAAAAAAAAAAAGUAUAAGACAUGGUUAUUUAGUCCCAGGCAGUACUAGGUAUGGAUUCAGACACCCACAGGUUUGCAAAGCAGAGCCUAAGAACAAUACUCAGAUGAAUUUAAAGAUUUUUUUUUUAAUAAAAGGGGAAGUUUAAAAAAUUGUAAUUAAAAGGCAAACAACAAACAAGGGAAAACGUCUGUAGUCUAUGUAGUCUAAUUAUACUAAAAGCCCUUACUAAUCAGUAAGAAAAAAACCAAUGGCCUAUUAGAAAACCGAUAGUGGGGACUUGCCCUGUGGCACAGUGGUUAAGACUCGCAACGCAGGGGGCACAGGUUCAAUCCCUGGUCAGGGAACUAGAUCCCACAUGCAUGCCGCAACUAAG